GGCCUCAGUGUAGCAGGCGUGCUGCGGAAAGACGCCUGCAGUCCCGCGUCUCGGGGCGGGUUCUGGGCUGCUUGGGUUGGCGCGUGUCCCUGGUCCCCGAGGGCGCAGUCGCAGCGCUCCCGCCCGCCAGGCGUCUGCGAGUGCGCGGCCCUGUGCGGCCGGAACCUGGGGCAACUCCGAGAGCGGUCCUUGGGGAGACGCGGGUCCCAGCCCUGAGGCACCUACUGGGGCGUGCGCUGGUCGGAGGAGUCUUGCUCUGUUGCCCAGGCUGGAGUGCAAUGGCAGAAUCUUGGCUCACUGCAACCUCCACCUCCCAGAUUCAAGCAAUUCUCCUGACUCAGCCUCCCAAGUAGCUGGGACUACAGACUGCUGGGCUCGCGGAAGAGAGACUGUACAUGAAAGCCCCAGCCACCCACCAAAUCAGAGGGAAAGAAUCCAUCUUCUUACGCCAUGGCAGGGAAGAAAGUACUCAUUGUCUAUGCGCACGAGGAACCCAGGUCUUUCAACGGAUCCUUGAAGAAUGUGGCUGUAGAUGAACUGAGCAGGCAGGGCUGCACGGUCACAGUGUCUGAUUUAUACGCCAUGAACUUUGAGCCGAGGGCCACGAGGAAAGAUAUCACUGCUGCUCUUUCUAAUCCUGAGGUUUUCAAUUACGGAGUGGAAACCUACGAAGCCUACAAGCAAAAGUCUCUGGCUAGCGACAUCACUGAUGAGCAGAAAAAGGUUGGGGAGGCUGACCUAGUGAUAUUUCAGUGACCGUGAGCUGCUAAUCCAGCCAAAGUGCAGGAUAUUCUUCGUCCUAAUUACAGUCCCGCUGUACUGGUUCAGCGUGCCGGCCAUCCUGAAGGGCUGGAUGGAUAGGGUGCUGUGCCGGGGCUUUGCCUUCGACAUCCCAGGAUUCUACGAUUCCGGUUUGCUCCAGGGUAAACUAGCGCUCCUUUCCGUAACCACAGGAGGCACGGCCGAAUGUACACGAAGACGGGAGUCAAUGGGGAUUUUCGAUACUUCCUGUGGCCACUCCAGCACGGCACAUUACACUUCUGUGGAUUUAAAGUCCUUGCCCCUCAGAUCAAUUUUGCUCCUGAAAUUGCAUCCGAAGAAGAAAGAAAGGAGAUGGUGGCUGCAUGGUCCCAGAGGCUGCAGACCAUCUGGAAGGAGGAGCCCAUCCCCUGCAUGGCCCCCUGGUACUUCGGGCAAUAACUCUGUGGCACGUGGGCAUCACGUAAGCAGCACACUAGGAGACCCAGGCACAGGCAAAGAGAAGACGGUGCUGUCAUGAAAUAAAAUUACAACAUAGCUACCUGGA